rnacentral:rRNA from 1 species
GUAGUGGAAAGUGGCAAACGGGCGAGUAACGCGUACUUAACCUGCCCUAGAGUAGUGAAUAACUAUGGAGACAUAGCUAAUACACUAUACGCUCAGAGGAAUGAAAAUACUCUGAGGAAAGAUUUAUCGCUCUUGGAGGGGGGUGCGAAGUAUCAGAUAGUUGGUGAGGUAACGGCUCACCAAGUCUAUGACGCUUAGUCGGUCUGAGAGGAUGUCCGGCCGCAAUGGAACUGAGACACGGUCCAUACCCCUACGGGGGGCAGCAGUGGGGAAUCUUGCACAAUGGGCGAAAGCCUGAUGCAGCGAUUCUGCGUGGAGGAUGACACCUUACGGGGCGUAAACUCCUUUUCUGGUGGAAGACGAAUGACGGUACACCAGGAAUAAGGGACGGCUAACUAUGUGCCAGCAGCCGCGGUAAUACAUAGGUCCCAAGCGUUAUCCGGAGUUACUGGGCGUAAAGCGUCUGUAGCCGGCUUAGUAAGUCUAUUUUCAAAUACUAUGGCUCAACCAUAGGAAGGGAGUGGAUACUGCUUAGCUAGAGGACCAUAAGGGGAUAGUGGAAUUUCCGGUGGAGCGGUGAAAUGUGUUGAUAUCGGAAGGAACGCCAAAAAGGCGAAAGCAGCUAUCUAUUAUGUAUCUGACGGUCAGAGACGAAAGUAUGGGUAGCGAAUGGGAUUAGAUACCCCAGUAGUCCAUACCGUAAAUGAUGUCCGCUAGAUGU